UUAAGUUAUUAAGGGCGCACGGUGGAUGCCUUGGCACUAGAAGCCGAUGAAGGACGUUACUAACGACGAUAUGCUUUGGGGAGCUGUAAGUAAGCUUUGAUCCAGAGAUUUCCGAAUGGGGAAACCCAGCAUGAGUUAUGUCAUGUUAUCGAUAUGUGAAUACAUAGCAUAUCAGAAGGCACACCCGGAGAACUGAAACAUCUUAGUACCCGGAGGAAGAGAAAGAAAAUUCGAUUCCCUUAGUAGCGGCGAGCGAAACGGGAAGAGCCCAAACCAACAAGCUUGCUUGUUGGGGUUGUAGGACACUCUAUACGGAGUUACAAAGGACGACAUUAGACGAAUCAUCUGGAAAGAUGAAUCAAAGAAGGUAAUAAUCCUGUAGUCGAAAAUGUUGUCUCUCUUGAGUGGAUCCUGAGUACGACGGAGCACGUGAAAUUCCGUCGGAAUCUGGGAGGACCAUCUCCUAAGGCUAAAUACUCUCUAGUGACCGAUAGUGAACCAGUACCGUGAGGGAAAGGUGAAAAGCACCCCGGAAGGGGAGUGAAAUAGAACCUGAAACCGUGUGCUUACAAGUAGUCAGAGCCCGUUAAUGGGUGAUGGCGUGCCUUUUGUAGAAUGAACCGGCGAGUUACGAUUUGAUGCAAGGUUAAGCAGUAAAUGUGGAGCCGUAGCGAAAGCGAGUCUGAAUAGGGCGUUUAGUAUUUGGUCGUAGACCCGAAACCAGGUGAUCUACCCUUGGUCAGGUUGAAGUUCAGGUAACACUGAAUGGAGGACCGAACCGACUUACGUUGAAAAGUGAGCGGAUGAACUGAGGGUAGCGGAGAAAUUCCAAUCGAACCUGGAGAUAGCUGGUUCUCUCCGAAAUAGCUUUAGGGCUAGCCUCAAGUGAUGAUUAUUGGAGGUAGAGCACUGUUUGGACGAGGGGCCCCUCUCGGGUUACCGAAUUCAGACAAACUCCGAAUGCCAAUUAAUUUAACUUGGGAGUCAGAACAUGGGUGAUAAGGUCCGUGUUCGAAAGGGAAACAGCCCAGACCACCAGCUAAGGUCCCAAAAUAUAUGUUAAGUGGAAAAGGAUGUGGCGUUGCCCAGACAACUAGGAUGUUGGCUUAGAAGCAGCCAUCAUUUAAAGAGUGCGUAAUAGCUCACUAGUCGAGUGACACUGCGCCGAAAAUGUACCGGGGCUAAACAUAUUACCGAAGCUGUGGAUUGUCCUUUGGACAAUGGUAGGAGAGCGUUCUAAGGGCGUUGAAGCAUGAUCGUAAGGACAUGUGGAGCGCUUAGAAGUGAGAAUGCCGGUGUGAGUAGCGAAAGACGGGUGAGAAUCCCGUCCACCGAUUGACUAAGGUUUCCAGAGGAAGGCUCGUCCGCUCUGGGUUAGUCGGGUCCUAAGCUGAGGCCGACAGGCGUAGGCGAUGGAUAACAGGUUGAUAUUCCUGUACCACCUAUAAUCGUUUUAAUCGAUGGGGGGACGCAGUAGGAUAGGCGAAGCGUGCGAUUGGAUUGCACGUCUAAGCAGUAAGGCUGAGUAUUAGGCAAAUCCGGUACUCGUUAAGGCUGAGCUGUGAUGGGGAGAAGACAUUGUGUCUUCGAGUCGUUGAUUUCACACUGCCGAGAAAAGCCUCUAGAUAGAAAAUAGGUGCCCGUACCGCAAACCGACACAGGUAGUCAAGAUGAGAAUUCUAAGGUGAGCGAGCGAACUCUCGUUAAGGAACUCGGCAAAAUGACCCCGUAACUUCGGGAGAAGGGGUGCUCUUUAGGGUUAACGCCCAGAAGAGCCGCAGUGAAUAGGCCCAAGCGACUGUUUAUCAAAAACACAGGUCUCUGCUAAACCGUAAGGUGAUGUAUAGGGGCUGACGCCUGCCCGGUGCUGGAAGGUUAAGAGGAGUGGUUAGCUUCUGCGAAGCUACGAAUCGAAGCCCCAGUAAACGGCGGCCGUAACUAUAACGGUCCUAAGGUAGCGAAAUUCCUUGUCGGGUAAGUUCCGACCCGCACGAAAGGCGUAACGAUUUGGGCACUGUCUCAACGAGAGACUCGGUGAAAUCAUAGUACCUGUGAAGAUGCAGGUUACCCGCGACAGGACGGAAAGACCCCGUGGAGCUUUACUGUAGCUUGAUAUUGAAAUUCGGCACAGCUUGUACAGGAUAGGUAGGAGCCUUUGAAACGUGAGCGCUAGCUUACGUGGAGGCGCUGGUGGGAUACUACCCUAGCUAUGUUGGCUUUCUAACCCGCACCACUUAUCGUGGUGGGAGACAGUGUCAGGCGGGCAGUUUGACUGGGGCGGUCGCCUCCUAAAAGGUAACGGAGGCGCUCAAAGGUUCCCUCAGAAUGGUUGGAAAUCAUUCAUAGAGUGUAAAGGCAUAAGGGAGCUUGACUGCGAGACCUACAAGUCGAGCAGGGUCGAAAGACGGACUUAGUGAUCCGGUGGUUCCGCAUGGAAGGGCCAUCGCUCAACGGAUAAAAGCUACCCCGGGGAUAACAGGCUUAUCUCCCCCAAGAGUUCACAUCGACGGGGAGGUUUGGCACCUCGAUGUCGGCUCAUCGCAUCCUGGGGCUGUAGUCGGUCCCAAGGGUUGGGCUGUUCGCCCAUUAAAGCGGUACGCGAGCUGGGUUCAGAACGUCGUGAGACAGUUCGGUCCCUAUCCGUCGUGGGCGUAGGAAAUUUGAGAGGAGCUGUCCUUAGUACGAGAGGACCGGGAUGGACAUACCUCUGGUGUACCAGUUGUCGUGCCAACGGCAUAGCUGGGUAGCUAUGUGUGGACGGGAUAAGUGCUGAAAGCAUCUAAGCAUGAAGCCCCCCUCAAGAUGAGAUUUCCCAACUUCGGUUAUAAGAUCCCUCAAAGAUGGUGAGGUUAAUAGGUUCGAGGUGGAAGCAUGGUGACAUGUGGAGCUGACGAAUACUAAUCGAUCGAAGACUUAAUCAA
rnacentral:rRNA from 1 species